GCUGUAGCUCAGUGGUAAGAAAAUCUGCUUUGCAUGCAGAAGGUCUCAUGUUCAAUCCCUGGUAGAACUG